AGACGUCUACAUUAGAUACCCCCGUAGUCCCAGCCGUAAACUAUGCGCGUUAGGUGUAUCGGUGACCACGAGUCACCGAGGUGCCGAAGGGAAACCGUGAAACGUGCCGCCUGGGAAGUACGGUCGCAAGGCUGAAACUUAAAGGAAUUGGCGGGGAGCACCACAACGGGUGGAGCCUGCGGUUUAAUCGGACUCAACGCCGGGAAGCUCACCGGAUAAGACAGCGGAAUGAUUGCCGGGCUGAAGACUCUGCAUGACUAGCUG
rnacentral:rRNA from 1 species